CCUACGGGUGGCAGCAGUGAGGAAUAUUGGUCAAUGGCCGAGAGGCUGAACCAGCCAAGUCGCGUGAGGGAAGACGGCCCUACGGGUUGUAAACCUCUUUUGUCGGGGAGCAAAGCGAACCACGCGUGGUUCAUUGAGAGUACCCGAAGAAAAAGCAUCGGCUAACUCCGUGCCAGCAGCCGCGGUAAUACGGAGGAUUCGAGCGUUAUCCGGAUGUAUUGGGGUUAAAGGGUGCGCAGGCGGUCUGAUAAGUUCGGGGUAAAAGCCCGGGGCUCAACCCCGGCCCCGCCGUUGAACCUGGCCGUCUCGAGAUGGAGAGAGGUAUGCGGAAUGCGCGGUGUAGCGGUGAAAUGCAUAGAGAUCGCGCAGAACUCCGAUUGCGAAGGCAGCAUGCCGGCUCCACACUGACGCUGAGGCACGAAAGCGUGGGUAUCGAACAGGAUUAGAUACCCCUGUAGUC
rnacentral:rRNA from 1 species